rnacentral:rRNA from 1 species
GACGAACGCUGGCGGCGUGCUUAACACAUGCAAGUCGAACGGUAAGGCCCUUCGGGGUACACGAGUGGCGAACGGGUGAGUAACACGUGGGUGAUCUGCCCUGCACUUCGGGAUAAGCCUGGGAAACUGGGUCUAAUACCGGAUAGGACCACUGCCUGCAUGGGUGGUGGUGGAAAGCUUUUGCGGUGUGGGAUGGGCCCGCGGCCUAUCAGCUUGUUGGUGGGGUGAUGGCCUACCAAGGCGACGACGGGUAGCCGGCCUGAGAGGGUGACCGGCCACAGUGGGACUGAGAUACGGCCCGGACUCCUACGGGAGGCAGCAGUGGGGAAUAUUGCACAAUGGGCGCAAGCCUGAUGCAGCGACGCCGCGUGAGGGAUGACGGCCUUCGGGUUGUAAACCUCUUUCAGCACCGACGAAGCGCAAGUGACGGUAGGUGCAGAAGAAGGACCGGCCAACUACGUGCCAGCCGCCGCAGUAAGAC